GGGAUCAUUGAGUUGUUCUUUUGGAUGAAAUAGAAGAAUUGGAAUGUGCUCCAUUCAUUCAGCACGAUGCGAGAUCCACCAUAUUCCUUGCCACACCAUUCGCUCCUUGCCAUGCACCACCACGAGUUUGAAUGAGGCAGCAUGAUCGAGAAGCAGACGGACGGGAGUGGCAGCCACAUUUUUACAUCCUCUCGUCCGCCAUCAACUCCGCUCUCUCGUCGUGCUCGUGCCGGCGACGACGAUAACUUUAAAAUAAUUCUGCAGGCCGCCUUAUCGACGCCAGACAGGAGGUUAUCAAGGACGUUAUCAGCUCAUUAUUAUCAAGGGUGAGAGGAAUUUGCCUGCCUACUACGGACGACGGAUAAGGAUAAGGACGGGGAGGAAGUUGGACGAGAUGGAAAAGUCCAGAAUUUCUUUCACGACAUGUGGUGGGGAGUUACGAGGAGAAAGCCGGGUUUUGCCGGGUAUCGAGUAGUGAAAUUUGGAGAAAAUACGGACUUGAUGACUUCAUCAACGUGGGCCGACCGGUUAAGCCAUGUGUUGUAUACUUAAAUAAACUUUUGCGAUGACUUCACAAGAAUCGAGGAGAGAGAAGAAGAGAUAAGAAAGGAAUGGCAAGGAUAACUCCAACUCGGCACACGCCCCGGAACCGGAAGUUCAUGACGAAAUGGUGACAGGACUCAAUACACAAUAUUGCAAGAACAACAUCAUCAUCAUCCCCAUCUACUAUCCAAUAAUAUCAAUAUACAGAUAAAAUUCAUUGCAGGAGAUUCGGCAGCAGCAGGAGCGAGCGACUACUUACUUACUACAUAAAUUCAUUGCACAUUGGCGGACGGUGGACGAGGUGAUUUGGAGUGGACCAAGAAGAAGGAAUGUGAAUGUGAAGUUGGCAGUGGACUUUGACACUUGACUCGACCGACUCCUCGGUUCAUUUGCUCAUUGAUUUCGUUGAUUUUCACAUCAUCAUCGCCACACCAUCAUCAUUAUCAUAUUCUGCUGCUGCUGCUGCAGGGGGACGGACGGACGGUGGUUGAUGGUGUUCUCUUGUAACUGAAACAGCUUGGAAGAUUCGAAAGCCUUUAUGUUUGCUGAAGUUGGUGGACGGACGAGCGAAGCGAACUGAGGAAUUUGACCUCGUCGUCCACAUUCAACAUUCCUCCCGUUUACCUCCCAUUCCAUCCAAAGUCCCUGUUAAAGAACUGAAGAGAGGAGACACCAUCACACCAACCAACCAACCAUCACCACAGCAUAUUGCAUUGCACAUCAUCGUACCACCAGCGCAGCACUGCAACAACAUUAUAACAUGAUGAUCACCAUCGUCAUCAUCAUCUGCUGCUAAACUAAAACCAAACCAUCCGUCCAUCCAUAGGAGAGAGAGAGAGAAUAGACACCACGAAGAAGGAGCAAGUGAUCUCUGGGAUUAGAUGAUGAUGAUGAUGCUGGGACGAACGAUGAUCAUCCUUCCUUCAACAUGCAGCCGGCCAACACUGCUAAACUCUUGGUCUUGGUCUUCUUCUGCUAACUCUUUUAAGAGUAGUGAGCACAUCUACGGCGAAACUGGCGAAAGAGAGAGAGAUAAACUGCACCACCAGCUUUGCGAGGCAGGCUGAAGCAACAGGGUCAUCAUCAUUCCGCAGCUCUUCGUAGUCUCAUCUCUCUUGUCUUGGCUUGAUUCCCUGGAUAUUAUUAUUCCAUAUCUGCCAUCAUCUUCAUACGCCGACAAGACAGCUCAACGGAAGGAAAUUAAAUUCUUUAGAAAACAAAGUGAGAAAAGAUAAGCCAACAACACGACCAAUUCUUCAAUCCAUCAUCAUCCUUGAUGUUCAUUCAGAAUCAAGAAGCAGCAUUUUAGAUAUCCAGUAUUAUUAUCUAUCAUCCUUUGCUCGUCAGAACUUCUUAACUAGAGUUUGUUGAGACCUACUGCUGCUUAUUUGUCCAAUUGAGAAUCAAGUGCAUCCGGCUGGUACACACACAUAUAUUUGUAUAUGGUUUCUUAGUGGAUCGCACAUUCGGCGAAACGGUCGGUGGAGGAAAUGGAAGGAAGGAAUUGCAACUGAUUAGCAGACACACACGUAUCUGUAAAAAAAAGUUUGCAGUCUUCGAGCCUUAAUAAGGUUUAUUUCGUUGAAUUGGAGGAUGACGGGUGAUGGUGUGGAAGGAUCAUGCAAAAUGCUGUGUGUGGAUUGACCUCAUCGGUUGGGCCGGUUGGUGACGACGACGGAUAAAGUAGUAGUAGUAGUUAGUUGGUGAAGAAGAAUGUUCAUUCAAUGCUCACUCACACGGCUGUACAUUCAACUUAUUACAACAGCUCCUCUCCGGUUGCAAGGUCCACUGGUUGAAGACAACGUGGAAGUAAUACAAGAAGAAAAGAAGAAGGAAGCCAAGUAAGGAGCUGAAGUAAUGCUCUUUCGCAGAAUUCUAUUCAUGGGUUGUUCGAAUUUGAGAAUGUUUUAUAUUCCUUGUAACUUUCUACAACUUGUUGUGUUAGAAUAAUUCUCUGUAUUGUUCUAGGUGUGGUGCCUGGCUGGGGAUUCGCACAGUAACUGAAUUCAGCAAGACGACGAAUCACGAAGACGGUCCUGGGUGUUGGAUCAUGAAAGCUCUCAAUUGCAAGCAGUGUUGGAUAUCAAGACAAGAAUUUGACAACUGCAGUUCUUUUCACCCGACAAUUCCAGCUUUUAUAAUGAUUUGUCAGAUAGUUUUUUAACUCUGAGAUCAUUGUGAAAGCUGAUUUUGGCGGUGUCCUUUCGUCGAACUGUACGUUGGAAAUUUAUGAAAUAAUGCUCACCUAGUAGUUUCUAAAUCCUCCACCAAUCAAGUAUGAUUCAAGAACAAGGAAAGAAAAAAGUCAGCAAAACUGCAAAAGCGAAGAGGAAAUUAUUGCAAUUUUUAAAUGAAUUUGAAAUUGCCUAAUCAUGCAUUUUAUGUAAUGCUACUAAAUAUUUGCUGUCGAGUUGCACAAUUAUUGUUGAAUAUUUUAUUCAUACUUAACUAAAAUUGUACUGUGCUCUUAUUAUUAUUAUUAUUCACGCCCGUAAUUCAUUCCUCUCUCGCUCAUUCAAUGUAUGAAUUUUUUAUUUUAAAUGCUCCAGUUUCUAUUUCAUUAAAAGAUUUUAACUUGGUUUAAAAUUCACGUUUAUGUAAGUUUA